rnacentral:rRNA from 1 species
UCCGUAGGCGGGCAAUUAAGUCAGAGGUGAAAUCCCACAGCUCAACUGUGGAACUGCCUUUGAUACUGGUUGUCUUGAGUUACAGUGAAGUAGAUAGAAUAUGUAGUGUAGCGGUGAAAUGCAUAGAUAUUACAUAGAAUACCGAUUGCGAAGGCAGUCUACUAACUGUUAACUGACGCUAAGGGACGAAAGCGUGGGGAGCGAACAGGAUUAGAUACCCUGGUAGUCC